AUGAAGAUGGAUUUAUCCAAUUUAUUCCCUGAUACCAGAAACAGAACAAGCCAACCCGUCCCCUGUGUGGUGUCAUCCUCCUCUUCUCCUCCUCCUUUGCAAUUCUGUUCCUUCGCCCUGUAUUUCCCUCCCUCCAAUGGAUCAGGCCGCCCUGGUAUGCCACCAGAACCAAAAAGCGAAAAGGAUCGUGACCAACACAGCCAGCCCAUGAGAGCCGGGUCCUCGGCCAGCCAAUCACGAACACGCCAGAUUCUCAAACCGACACCCACUUCCUGUUAAGUGCAUAUGUGAAUCGAAAAAAUGUUUUCUUUUUUAAUAACGAAAGUGCACAGGUGGAGCAAUACUUUCGUAAACACAACAUCCCUGCAUUAAUUCCUGUAUAUUUAUUUCAUUUUUGCAGGAUGUCUGGAGCUGGAAUGAGAAUCUGGAAAAGACACCGGAGGUAAGGAUGCAGGGAUUCGUUUCCAUUCAUUCACUCGUUUGUAAACAGCUUAUCCUUUUUUCUUUUCUCACAACCCUACAUCAACAGGUUUAACAAGGCCUUUUGUCGUACCGUCCGCGCUCCCCUCGCGUAAGACAAAAAGGUUAAUCAAUAACAUGGUUCAAAAUAAAGUUUAGUGAUUGUGCUUUUAAAACCAAAGUCAAACA
rnacentral:lncRNA from 12 species